GAUGAACGCUGGCGGCGUGCCUAAUACAUGCAAGUCGAGCGAACAGAUGAGGAGCUUGCUCCUCUGACGUUAGCGGCGGACGGGUGAGUCACACGUGGAUAACCUACCUAUAAGACUGGUAUAACUUCGGGAAACCGGAGCUAAUACCGGAUAAUAUAUUGAACCGCAUGGUUCAAUAGUGAAAGACGGUUUUGCUGUAUCUUAUAGAUGGAUCCGCGCCGGAUUAGCUAGUUGGGAAGGUAACGGCUUACCAAGGGUACGAUGCGUAGACGACCUGAGGGGCGGGUCGGCCACACGGGAACUUAGACACGGUCCAUACUCCUACGGGAGGCAGCAGUAGGGAAUCUUCCGCAAUGGGCGAAAGCCUGACGGAGCAACGCGGCGUGAGUGAUGAAGAUCUUCGGUUCGUAAAACUCUGUUAUUAGGGAAGAACAAAUGUGUAAGUAACUAUGCACGUAUUGACGGUACCUAAUCAGAAAGCAACGGCUAACUACGUG
rnacentral:rRNA from 1 species